AUUGAACGCUGGCGGAAUGCUUUACACAUGCAAGUCGAGCGGCAGCGCGGGGGGCAACCCUGGCGGCGAGCGGCGAACGGGUGAGUAACAUAUCGGAACGUACCCCGUCGUGGGGGAUAACACAGCGAAAGCUGUGCUAAUACCGCAUACGACCUGAGGGUGAAAGCGGGGGAUCGCAAGACCUCGCGCGAUGGGAGCGGCCGAUAUCGGAUUAGCUUGUUGGUGAGGUAAAGGCUCACCAAGGCGACGAUCCGUAGCUGGUCUGAGAGGACGACCAGCCACACUGGAACUGAGACACGGUCCAGACUCCUACGGGAGGCAGCAGUGGGGAAUUUUGGACAAUGGGGGCAACCCUGAUCCAGCCAUUCCGCGUGAGUGAAGAAGGCCUUCGGGUUGUAAAGG
rnacentral:rRNA from 1 species